ACAUGCCUACAACAUAGCAUUAAUGCAUCAGAUCCCAAUAGAACUUCACAUUUAAGCGCACUCAAGCUAGAGUAGUACUGGGAUGGGUGACCGCCUGGGAAGUACUAGUAUUUUACAUGCC
rnacentral:rRNA from 1 species